GACGAACGCUGGCGGCACGCUUAACACAUGCAAGUCGAACGGUGAAAUGGUGCUUGCACCAUGGAUCAGUGGCGGACGGGUGAGUAACACGUGAGCAAUCUGCCUUUGGGUGGGGGAUACCAGUUGGAAACGACUGUUAAUACCGCAUAACAUAGCGAAACCGCAUGAUUUUGCUAUCAAAGAUUUAUUGCCUGAAGAUGAGCUCGCGUCUGAUUAGCUAGUUGGUGAGGUAACGGCCCACCAAGGCGACGAUCAGUAGCCGGACUGAGAGGUUGAACGGCCACAUUGGGACUGAGACACGGCCCAGACUCC
rnacentral:rRNA from 1 species